rnacentral:rRNA from 1 species
GACGAACGCUGGCGGCGUGCUUAACACAUGCAAGUCGAACGGAAAGGCCCUGCUUGCAGGGUACUCGAGUGGCGAACGGGUGAGUAACACGUGGGUGAUCUGCCCUGCACUUCGGGAUAAGCCUGGGAAACUGGGUCUAAUACCGGAUAGGAGCCAUUUUUAGUGUGAUGGUUGGAAAGUUUUUUUCGGUGUAGGAUGAGCUGGCGGCCUAUCAGCUUGUUGGUGGGGUAAUGGCCUACCAAGGCGGCGACGGGUAGCCGGCCUGAGAGGGUGGACGGCCACACUGGAACUGAGACACGGGCGAGACUCCGACGGGAGGCAGCAGGAGGGAAUCGUGCGCAAGGGGCGGAAGCCUGACGGAGCAACGCCGCGGGAGUGAUGAAGGUCGGCGGAUCUGAAAACUCUGUUAUGAGGGAAGAACAAAUGUGGAAGUAACUACGCACGUCUUGACGGUACCUAAGCAGAAAGCCACGGCUAACUACGUG